ACAUUGUUCUUUUGGCCUAAGUGAAUCCUGAAGUCUUUGCUCUACAGAUGCAAGUAAUCCUUCCUGCUCCAAAUUUAACUGGGAUGAAAUUGGCUACGUGUUGAAUAUUAGAGACUUUUAUCUGUGGUCUGUCACGGAGAGCUGCUAAUCUGUUUAUGGAUAGUGGAAAAAUUUAUCAUUUGUGAAUGGGGAUUUCCACUUCCUCUCUCUCUUAUGAGAUGGUCAGGACACUUACGCACUAGAAAAACUCUGAUGGAUAAGAAUUUCUAAAAAGCAUUUGUACUACACUGCCACAUCCACAGUUUUUGUAGCACAUCAUCUUCAAAGAAGUCAAGAAAUUUGUAGCAACCAAAAGUUUAUUUAUGUUUAAGUAUCCUAAGACUGAACGGAGUUGUGUUUGCUGUGCUAUUUUAUAGUUUUGAGCUAACAGUUUCCAAGCAAACAUUUAACAUACCCAUCUUUGUGUCCUCCAAAUGCAUCCCGUCUGGUUCCCACAUCUCCACCCACACAUGUACGUUUCCCUCAUUCUCACCCGGCACGCAAACACGCACAUCCACAAACUAAACCACCGUUGUGGGCGGUUGUCCUUUUAAUCACACAUCUCUCAAGUGAUUGACUGCUCCUUUGGUGAUGUAACAAUAUCCCUGAUCCCAGUGCUGCCUCACGCCUCAGAACACACAUACAGACACUGAGAGAUACAGAGAUCAAGUCUUAUCAUUCUCACUGAGCCUCAGACCUCUGCGUUGGAGGAGGUAGAGACCAGCCUUAGUCUGCUCAUAUAGAGUCUAAAUCUUUACAAAAUAUAAUAGAGAGAGGAAGAGUGAUCACAAAAAAGGGAUGCUGGAUUUGCCAAAGUUGUGAAGUUCAUGGCUGCAAGUAUUUGAAAGUCCACAUACUUUUUAUGCUGAAUUAUGUUCAUAAAAUAGUCUGUAUGAAUUGCUUUUUAGUAGCUGAACAUUUUGAGCACAAAGUCAACAUAUAUUUUUCACUAUGUUUUUCCGUUUCUGUGGGCCAGGAGUGUCUAAGUUAAAGAAAAGUGAAAUAUUUGAAUAAUUUUGCAUAGAAUGCAUGUGCUAAGUUCUUAGGAACUACUCGUUGCACGCUUUAAACCAUUUCAAAAAUAAAUAAAUCAUUUAAAAAAAA